CCGCAGCCCGAGUGGUGAUCGUUAUUAUUGGGCCUAAAGCGUCCGUAGCCUGCUUGGUAAAUCCUUGGGUAAAUCGGGCAGCUUAACUGUCCGAAUUCCGGGGAGACUGCCAAGCUUGGGACCGGGAGAGGUCGGAGGUACUCCGGGGGUAGAGGUGAAAUUCUGUAAUCCUCGGGGGACCACCAGUGGCGAAGGCGUCCGACUUGAACGGGUCCGACGGUGAGGGACGAAGCCCUGGGGCACAAACCGGAUUAGAUACCCGAGUAGUCC
rnacentral:rRNA from 1 species